rnacentral:tRNA from 1 species
GCCUGGGUGGCUCAGUGGUUGAGCGUCUGCCUUUGGCUCAGGUCAUGAAACCAGGGUCCUGGGAUCGAGUCCCACAUCGGGCU